rfam:Erinaceus europaeus unplaced genomic scaffold scaffold00181, whole genome shotgun sequence
GUCUAUGGCCAUACCACCCUGAACACGCCAGAUUGCGUCUGAUCUCAGAAGUUAAGCCGGGUUGGCCCGGUUAGUACUUGGAUGGAAGGACAGAGAGAAUGUGUGCA